UCUUCAACGACAACAAUCUCGGUACUAGGACUUGCGAGUGUUUAUAUCGAGUAAGUAUACCAAAUAAUCUUCGGACGCUGUGAUGUUUUGAAAGUUAUCAGUCAGAGCCGAGCGCUCGUAUCGUCAGGGCCUCAAUUUGUCGAUCGGCUCUUACCCGGAAUGAGGUAAUUUCGCAGCGAGGCGUGUUGCCCCUGAUUUAUACAAACUGAUCCCUCUCCGGCGGAAUGGUGAAAAGACUUUGUGACUCGUGACGCGAUGAGUUUGUGCUACGAUCCGGAAGGAUAUUGUCUGCCUAAUUCUACGAGCUUGCGGGAAGGUGACGGCUUAACUUGCCGAGAAAAAUACUUUGCCCCGCCAACGAAAGACGUCCUGCGUUUCAAGCGGGGUUGUAAGCGGUCUCCGAGAUGUCGAAAGAAUGACGGUUUACGGUGUUCACAGCUGCUCAAGACUGGAUCAUCUGUAAUCAAACAUUUUUGUGGGAUCAUUAGGAAUAGAAAACUGCUUUGUGAAUCACAGAGAAGUUUCAUCACAUAAUGACUACAGUCAAACCAAAAAUGGCGUUGUGCAUGGCGAUUAAGUGAAGAUCAGCUACCAAUUUUCUCAUCUCCAAGACCAAUUGAGUUGAAGAAUAAAUUUGAACAAUAAUUACCUUUCAACUUUCGAAUACUCUUACGUAUCCUGGAAAAACUCUGCCUGGUCCGUUUCACCUAAUACGUCAUGUAAUUUAAAUCAAGAGAAAUACUGAGAAAACUUUCAUUGUUCGGAUCUAACUCUUGAUGCAUUGCUCGCAGCGUAUGCGGAUUCAGAUUGCGCGCAAUCGAUUCCUCUCACAAAAUUACAUCUAUGUAGCGCGUCAAAGAAUAAAUUGCAGCAUUAUUCAUAUUCGUCGAAAUUUUGUUCUAAAAUUCAGAGAAGUUGGCCUGACUUUCUUCGCGAUUUUUGUUACAAAAAAUUUUCAUCCCUGUAUCUAUUCAUACCAGUAUUCUUAGACUAACUCGACUUCAAGUAUUCCAAAAACAGCGUUCAAAUCAUUUUGGAAUCAAGGCUGAUAAAAUACUAAUGAAAUAUUGGGAAAUUAAGUUAUUCAUUAAUUUUGAUGCAGGUUAAAUUAAACACUAACAACACAAUAACAUACGGUAUACAUCGUACAAUGCAAAGGUGCGCUGCGCUUAGACGCAAACCAGAACUCGAACUAUACUUACUAAGUAAGACCUUGACUAUCUGAUAUAAUAUUUUUCAUCUUCUACUUAAAAUUAGGUAUAAUGCACUCCUGUGUCCUGUUACGAUAAUUAGAAUAAUUGGGUAAUGUUAAAUCAUACUUUUGCAUUCCCGUUUAUCUUUCAAUAUUAUACCGUUUGGUAACUAGUUGAAUUACUACACACUGAC
rnacentral:lncRNA from 1 species